rnacentral:rRNA from 1 species
GAUGAACGCUGGCGGCGUGCCUAAUACAUGCCAGUCGAGCGAACGGACGAGAAGCUUGCUUCUCUGAUGUUAGCGGCGGACGGGUGAGUAACACGUGGAUAACCUACCUAUAAGACUGGGAUAACUUCGGGAAACCGUAGCUAAUACCGGAUAAUAUUUUAAACCGCAUGGUUCAAAAGUGAAAGACGGUCUUGCUGUCACUUAUAGAUGGAUCCGCGCUGCAUUAGCUAGUUGGUAAGGUAACGGCUUACCAAGGCAACGAUGCAUAGCCGACCUGAGAGGGUGAUCGGCCACACUGGAACUGAGACACGGUCCAGACUCCUACGGGAGGCAGCAGUAGGGAAUCUUCCGCAAUGGGCGAAAGCCUGACGGAGCAACGCCGCGUGAGUGAUGAAGGUCUUCGGAUCGUAAAACUCUGUUAUUAGGGAAGAACAUAUGUGUAAGUAACUGUGCACAUCUUGACGGUACCUAAUCAGAAAGCCACGGCUAACUACGUG